CAUUAACUUCGCUUUCUUAUUCAUUCAUGUAACUCUUGCAUGUUCUUUUUCUGUUUUUUCUUUUUCUCUUUAAUUUUCAAACCAUCAAUUUCUUCAGCAGAUGUACAUGAAUGCCAUUCUUUCAUCAAGACUCAAAAUAAUCAUCUGGUCAGUCGUAUUUGAUGUUUUGGUUUUAAUCAUUGCAGCAGUUUGUAUCAGAUUUCAAUGUGAGAAUGUUCAAUAAAAUGCUGGUGAUUGCUUCAUGUUCCCUUCAUCAGUAUCUGUUGUGGCACUUUCAUGCUUAUUGAUUCAAUGUG
rnacentral:lncRNA from 1 species